rnacentral:lncRNA from 11 species
ACUUUGUGGAUGGCCUUGUAUGUAUUCUACAAAGCCUUGUUUACUUCUGUUUUGCCCGUAGCUGUGCUGACUUCUCCGGCACAAAAGGCUGCCUUUUGAUUCCGAUGAAGGGCACUGACAAUUCUACCCACGCCUGCAUUCACAACCUUACAGAACGCCUGUCAACAUCCAAGCUGCCAAUGGGUCUUAAACCAGGUGACCUGAAGAAUACCAGGCAGCUGUGUGGGAAAAUCUACAGAAUAGCAGGAUCUCACUGCAUGUUAGAACAGGAGGCACAGAUCAGAUUAGAGAGAUGGGCCGAAACUAACAAAAUGAAGUUCAACAGGGACAAAUGCAAGAUACUUCACUUCGGCAGAAAAAAUGGAAUGCAAAGAUACAGAAUGGGGGACGCCUGGCUCGACAGCAGUACGUGUAAAAAAGAUCUUGGAGUCCUUGUGAACAACAAGUUAAACAUGAGCCUACAAUGUGAUAUGGCAGCGAAAAAAGCCAAUGGGAUUCUAGCCUGCAUAAAUACGGGUAUAGCAUCUAAAUCCAGAGAAAUCAUGCUACCCCUCUAUUCUGCCUUGGUCAGGCCACAUCUGGAAUACUGUGUCCAAUUUUGGGCACCACAGUUGAAGGGAGAUGUUGACAAGCUGGAAAGCGUCCAGAGGAGGGCAACUAAAAUGAUCAAGGGUCUGGAGAACAAGCCCUAUGAGGAGCGGCUUAAAGAGCUGGGUAUGUUUAGCCUGCAGAAGAGAAGGCUGAGAGGAGACAUGAUAGCCAUAUACAAAUAUGUGAGGGGAAGUCAUAGAGAGGAGGGAGCAAGCUUGUUUUCUGCUGCCCUGGAGACUAGGACGUGGAACAACGGCUUCAAACUACAAUAAAGGAGAUUCCACCUGAACAUGAGGAAGAACUUCCUCACUGUGAGAGCUGUUCAGCAGUGGGACUCUCUCCCCGGACUAUGGUGGAGGCUCCUCCUUUGGAGGCUUUUAAGCAGAGGCUGGAUGGCCAUCUGUCGGGGGUGCUUUGAAUGAGAUUUUCCUGCUUACUGCAGGGGGUUGGACUGGAUGGCCCGUGAGGUCUCUUCCAACUCUACGAUUCUAUGAUUCUAUGUUUUUAUUCUUUGUAUUGUAUAUUGGCAUUGAAUCUUGCCAGACUGUGAGCUGCCCUGAGUCCCUUCGGGUGAGAAGGGCAGCAUAGAAAUGAUGGAAAUACAUAAAUAAAUAAAUUUUACAGUUCAGAAACCUAGUUGCCUUGCAG